GGAUAUUUUUUUUCAUCAAAUUCCAGCAUACUAUCACUAUCCUAGGGUGACCUUGUACAGCCGUCCUCAAGGAUGGGUUUACCAGUAUUGGGUUGGAUAGUAGAUUGAAAAGUAUAAGUGACUUGAGAUUACUGCAAUAUAAGAUCACCAUAGUGCAACUAAAUGCAAUAAUUUCAUUGCUUUUAUUCACAUCACCUUUGAUCUUGAGAUCAUCACCCCACACCAAACGCCCUUUUUUGUGAUAAGGAGGUGGAAGUGCACUUUCCAAUCAUCAUGGUUUU
rnacentral:lncRNA from 1 species